GAAAAAAUAGAAGGGGCAGAAGAGUGCCUCGCUGGUUCAAGUGUCUCUUACAAGUCUGGGUGUGUUCGGCAUGGUUGUGGCCGACAACAGCCCAAAUAAACACCCUUUUUUCACCUUCACCUACAUCCUUUUUUGCAAUCUGGUAAAGGAUAUAUUGGUCCUUUUACCACUGAAAUCACACUAACCUACAAGAAUGUCAUCACAAACAUAGGGAACGCCUACAACCCAAUUACAGGUGUUUUCACAGCCCCACUGAAAGGAGCGUACAUGUUCAGAGUCUCUAUAUAUGGCCAUGCCCCAAAUACAGCAACUGCCUCCAUUUAUAAGAAUGGAGAGAAGAUGGUUACAGCAUAUGUUUAUCAGCCUCAGAAUGAUUUAAACUCCUCGAACGGAGUUGUGUUGAUCCUGGAGGUUGGAGAUGUUGUCUAUGUGAGACUUUGGUCUGACAGGAGGAUAUAUGAUGACUGGAAUAACUACAACACUUUCAGUGGUUAUCUACUGUUUGCCUUAAGAGAACAAGAGCUUUGCAGAAUGUGAUUCCAAUAAUUCUUCAGUGUAUAAUUUAAGAUCAUUAAAUCAUUAAGAAUAAUUAACAUAUGAAUCUGUCUUAAUGAGGACUAAUGUGUGUUUGAAAUUUUCAGUAGAUUACUGUAUAAAGUCAGUAUAAUACACUAUAUUCAUGAGUUCUGAUCUGUCUGUACAUGUAAGUUUGUAUAAAGAGUUUCAGCACUGAGACAGACAGGACCCAUGAAUAUCACAUGUGACUCAAAAGUGUUUUGUUAAAGUAGUAAAUCUAAUAAUUUUAAAUAAUACCUUUUUAAGUGUAUCUUGUUACUGAUCCUUGAUCUGUAUCUCUUCAUCCUACAUAAAUAAA